rnacentral:rRNA from 1 species
AGUGGCGGACGGGUGAGUAACACGUGGGUAACCUGCCCUAAAGUGGGGGAUAACAUUUGGAAACAGAUGCUAAUACCGCAUAAAACCUAGCACCGCAUGGUGCAAGGUUGAAAGAUGGUUUCGGCUAUCACUUUAGGAUGGACCCGCGGUGCAUUAGUUAGUUGGUGAGGUAAAGGCUCACCAAGACCGUGAUGCAUAGCCGACCUGAGAGGGUAAUCGGCCACACUGGGACUGAGACACGGCCCAGACUCCUACGGGAGGCAGCAGUAGGGAAUCUUCCACAAUGGACGAAAGUCUGAUGGAGCAACGCCGCGUGAGUGAAGAAGGUUUUCGGAUCGUAAAACUCUGUUGUUGGAGAAGAACGUAUUUGAUAGUAACUGAUCAGGUAGUGACGGUAUCCAACCAGAAAGCCACGGCUAACUACGUGCCAGCAGCCGCGGUAAUACGUAGGUGGCAAGCGUUGUCCGGA